rnacentral:rRNA from 1 species
AUUGAACGCUGGCGGCAGGCCUAACACAUGCAAGUCGAGCGAGCGGCGGACGGGUGAGUAAUGUCUGGGAAACUGCCCGAUGGAGGGGGAUAACUACUGGAAACGGUAGCUAAUACCGCAUACCAUCAGAUGUGCCCAUAUGGGAUUAGCUAGUAGGUGAGGUAACGGCUCACCUAGGCGACGAUCCCUAGCUGGUCUGAGAGGAUGACCAGCCACACUGGAACUGAGACACGGUCCAGACUCCUACGGGAGGCAGCAGUGGGGAAUAUUGCACAAUGGGCGCAAGCCUGAUGCAGCCAUGCCGCGUGUGUGAAGAAGGCCUUCGGGUUGUAAAGCACUUUCAGCGGGGAGGCGUUACCCGCAGAAGAAGCACCGGCUAACUCCGUGCCAGCAGCCGCGGUAAUUC